rnacentral:rRNA from 1 species
AACGAACGCUGGCGGCAUGCCUAACACAUGCAAGUCGAACGAGACCUUCGGGUCUAGUGGCGCACGGGUGCGUAGCGCGUGGGAACCUGCCUUUAGGUUCGGAAUAACUCAGAGAAAUUUGAGCUAAUACCGGAUAAUGUCUUCGGACCAAAGAUUUAUCGCCUUUAGAUGGGCCCGCGUUGGAUUAGCUAGUUGGUGGGUAAAGGCCUACCAAGGCGACGAUCCAUAGCUGGUCUGAGAGGAUGAUCAGCCACACUGGGACUGAGUCACGGCCCAGACUCCUACGGGAGGCAGCAGUGGGGAAUAUUGGACAAUGGGCGAAAGACCUGAUCCAGCAAUAGCCGCGUGAGUGAUGAAGGCCGUUA